rnacentral:rRNA from 1 species
UUGGUUAGUGGCAGACGGGUGAGUAAUGCAUAGGAAUCUACCUAGUAGUAUGGGAUAGCCACUGGAAAUGGUGGGUAAUACCGUAUAAUCCCCGCGGGGGAAAGAUUUAUCGCUAUUAGAUGAGCCUAUGUCGGAUUAGCUAGUUGGUGGGGUAAUGGCCUACCAAGGCAGUGAUCUGUAGCUGGUCUGAGAGGAUGAUCAGCCACACUGGAACUGAGACACGGUCCAGACUCCUACGGGAGGCAGCAGUGGGGAAUAUUGGACAAUGGGCGCAAGCCUGAUCCAGCUAUGCCGCGUGAGUGAGGAAGGCCUUAGGGCUGUAAAACUCUUUCAGUAGGGAAGAUAAUGACGGUACCUA